rnacentral:rRNA from 1 species
UACAGAGGUCCCAAGCGUUGUUCGGAUUCAUUGGGCGUAAAGGGUGCGUAGGCGGCGCGGUAAGUCGGGUGUGAAAUCUCGGAGCUUAACUCCGAAACUGCAUUCGAUACUGCCGUGCUUGGGGACUGGAGAGGAGACUGGAAUUUACGGUGUAGCGGUGAAAUGCGUAGAUAUCGUAAGGAAGACCAGUGGCGAAGGCGGGUCUCUGGACAGUUCCUGACGCUGAGGCACGAAGGUCAGGGGAGCAAACGGG